CCUACGGGGGGCAGCAGUGAGGAAUAUUGGUCAAUGGCCGAGAGGCUGAACCAGCCAAGUCGCGUGAGGGAAGACGGCCCUACGGGUUGUAAACCUCUUUUGUCGGGGAGCAAAGCGAGUCACGUGUGACUCAUUGAGAGUACCCGAAGAAAAAGCAUCGGCUAACUCCGUGCCAGCAGCCGCGGUAAUACGGAGGAUGCGAGCGUUAUCCGGAUUUAUUGGGUUUAAAGGGUGCGCAGGCGGCGGUGCAAGUCAGCGGUCAAAUUGCGGGGCUCAACCCCGUCCUGCCGUUGGAACUGCAGCCCUUGAGUGCGCGAGAAGUAGGCGGAAUGCGUGGUGUAGCGGUGAAAUGCAUAGAUAUCACGCAGAACUCCGAUUGCGAAGGCAGCAUACCGGCGCGCGACUGACGCUCAGGCACGAAAGCGUGGGUAUCGAACAGGAUUAGAUACCCGGGUAGUC
rnacentral:rRNA from 1 species